rnacentral:rRNA from 4 species
AAAUUGAAGAGUUUGAUCAUGGCUCAGAUUGAACGCUGGCGGCAGGCCUAACACAUGCAAGUCGAACGGUAACAGGAAGCAGCUUGCUGCUUCGCUGACGAGUGGCGGACGGGUGAGUAAUGUCUGGGAAACUGCCUGAUGGAGGGGGAUAACUACUGGAAACGGUGGCUAAUACCGCAUAACGUCGCAAGACCAAAGAGGGGGACCUUCGGGCCUCUUGCCAUCAGAUGUGCCCAGAUGGGAUUAGCUUGUUGGUGAGGUAAUGGCUCACCAAGGCGACGAUCCCUAGCUGGUCUGAGAGGAUGACCAGCCACACUGGAACUGAGACACGGUCCAGACUCCUACGGGAGGCAGCAGUGGGGAAUAUUGCACAAUGGGCGCAAGCCUGAUGCAGCCAUGCCGCGUGUAUGAAGAAGGCCUUCGGGUUGUAAAGUACUUUCAGCGGGGAG